UGAUUUUGAAAUCGAAGUAAAGGAUAAUCUUCUACGCCAAAAUGAGGACAACUGCUUUGUGUACACUGCUGUUGGUGUUCACUUUUACGCUAGUAUUGAGUCCUACUGCUGUCAAGGCUGCUGUUGUGGAAAAAGAUGAAGGAGCACCAUGUAAUUGUAAAGGACGGAAAACAGCGGGAUCAGAUACAAACAAUGCCGAUGCGAAUGGUGUGCGUCUGAAUGGAAGACUCUUUAGAUAAAAAAGAAAACGUUUGACAUUUGACGCACUACACCAACUCGUCAGGACUAAUCGACUAAUGAUUUUAUGAUUUGCAUGUUAUUUUAACUUAAAAAUAAAUAUCAGCAUCAAAAGCUAUUUA